AUGGAUGGUGCUUCAGUGGGCCGUCAUCCGCUGGUCUCUCACUUAUACAGGGUGGGUAAUAUUUUUUCUAGCCGGAGUUCGGCUGGGGAUUUGUGCUUCCCGAGAGACUGUCACGACGGACGCGUCUUUGACCGGUUGGGGAGCUGUUUGUCAAGGGCGCCCAGCUCAUGGAGUGUGGACAGCGACACAACGCGGUUGGCACAUAAACAGGUUGGAACUACUGGCAGUUUUUCUAGCUCUCCAGUAUUUCUCAAAUCUGCUGACCGGCCGUCAUGUACUACUCAGGUCAGACAACAUGGCGGUUGUGUCAUACCUGAAUCAUCAAGGAGGGUUACGCUCUCGCCCCCUGUGCAGGCUGGCGAGGAGUAUUCUUCUUUGGUCUCGGAACAGAUUUCUAUCGAUCCGAGCAGUUCAUGUCCCCGGACGUUUGAACGUCGGAGCGGAUCUGCUAUCCAGACAGACUCUGGAGCAGGGGGAAUGGAGAUUACACCCACAGACGGUGAGCCUUUUAUGGCAGAUAUUCGGAGAGGCGAGAGUGGACUUAUUCGCGUCGAGCACGACUACGCAUUGCCCGCUGUGGUUCUCCCUAUGCCCUCCAUCGCCCCUAGGCCUGGAUGCGUUAGCUCACGAUUGGCCCAGGACCAGCUUGUAUGCUUUUCCUCCAAUUCGUUUAAUUCCAGCGGUGUUGUCCAGGAUACGGCUGGACAGAGUGGAGCAGCUGCUGCUGGUGGCUCCGUGGUGGCCCACACAGCCGUGGUUUGCGGAACUGGUCAGUCUAAUAGUGGGCUCUCCAUGGGAGAUUCCCCUCAGACAGGACUUACUAUCGCAAGCACGAGGGAUGAUUUGGCACCCGAGGCCAGAUCUGUGGAAACUGUGGGCGUGGCCUCUGAGCGGAGUGAGUUAAUAUGUCCCGGUCUUUCUGCGGAAACCUCCGAGACUAUUAUGAAUUCCAGAGCAGCAUCUACGAGACGCUUAUAUGCUUUCAAAUGGAAGCUGUUUACGACCUGGUGUGGUUUUCGUAGUAUAGACCCAGUUUACUGCCCAGUGGCUUCAGUACUGGAGUUCCUUCAAGACCGUUUCUCUGAUGGAGUAACGCCAGCAACUUUGAAAGUUUAUGUGGCAGCCAUUUCAGCUAACCACGUAUAUAUGGAUGGUGCUUCAGUGGGCCGUCAUCCGCUGGUCUCUCGCUUUUUACAAGGUGCGCGACGGCUGAGGCCUUUCCGCCCUGUGCGAGUUCCCUCAUGGGAUUUAUCUAUUGUACUGCAAGGUCUAUCAGGACAUCCGUUUGAGCCCUUGGAAACCGUACCGGAUAAAAUCCUGACCUUGAAGACAGUUCUUCUUAUGGCCUUAUCCUCCCUCAAGAGAGUUGGGGAUUUACAGGCUCUUUCUGUUUCGCCGUCGUGCAUGGAUUUUGCACCAGGCUUUGUGAAGGUAUUGCUGCGACCGAGGCCUAAUUAUGUCCCUAAAGUCGCUUCGAACCCCUUUCAUUUUCAGCAGACGGUCCUGGAGGCUUUACCCCCUGCUGGGACAGGAUCAGAAGAUCUAAGUCUUUGCCCUGUCAGAGCGCUUAAGACUUAUGUCGAUCGAUCAGCCUCAUGGCGUGAGUCCGACCAGCUGUUUGUCUGUUUUGGACACAAGAAUAGAGGCCAUGCUGUCACAAAGCAACGCAUGUCCCAUUGGUUGGUGGAGACUAUAUCUUUAGCCUAUGAGGCGCGCGGACUCGCUUCGCCCUUAGGAAUUAGAGCUCAUUCCACGAGAGCAGUGGUUUCAUCGAAAUCAUUUCUCAGUGGAUCUUCUAUAUAUGAUGUCUGUGCUGCGGCAGGAUGGUCCUCUCCGAGCACUUUUGUCAAGUUUUACAGUCUUGAUGUGAGGAUGGCUCCUGGCUCCCGGGUUCUAACCGCUUGA
ensembl:lncRNA